rnacentral:misc_RNA from 1 species
GAUGAAGAACGUAGCGAAAUGCGAUAAGUAAUGUGAAUUGCAGAAUUCAGUGAAUCAUCGAAUCUUUGAACGCACAUUGCGCCCGCCAGUAUUCUGGCGGGCAUGCCUGUUCGAGCGUCAUUUCAACCCUCAAGCCCCCGGGCUUGGUGUUGGGGAUCGGCGUGCCCUCGCGGCGCGCCGUCCCCUAAAUCUAGUGGCGGUCUCGCUGUAGCUUCCUCUGCGUAGUAGCAACACUCGCACUGGAUCGCAGCGCGGCCACGCCGUUAAACCCCCCACUUCUGAAAGUUUGACCUCGGAUCAGGUAGGAAUACCCGCUGAACUUAAGCAUAUCAAAAGCGGAGGA